rnacentral:rRNA from 1 species
UACGGGGGGAGCAAACGUUGUUCGGAAUCACUGGGCGUAAAGGGCGUGUAGGCGGCUGAAUAAGUGGGAUGUUAAAUCCCCCGGCUCAACCGGGGACCUGCAUCUCAUACUGUUCAGCUCGAGCACAUCAGAGGAGACUGGAAUUCCCGGUGUAGCGGUGAAAUGCGUAGAUAUGCGGAGGAACACCGAUGGCGAAGGCAAUACCCUGGGCCUACACUGACGCUCAUGCACGAAAGCGUGGGGAGCAAACAGA